UUUUUUUAAUAUCAAUUCAAGUGACUUUACUAGCGAAGCCAACUAGAUUCUUAGAAUAAUUCAGAUAAGUAAGAUACACCGGUUAUUUCAGAGGCCUAGCCUGGCUUCCGUUUUUCUUUUUCUAAAAUGUUAUCUUUAGAGAAUUUCUCCACAGUCAGAAAUCCUGCCUCAUAACCUGGGUUCCCCUGGAGCUGACGCUUUUCAAACUGUGUGUGUUUCCUAAUGGCUGAGAGGAUCAUGUGUGUUUCUGAUUGGCUUGAGAGGACCGGCAAGCCUCACAGAAACAUGAGCUCAGUGCCAUCGACGAGUUCGCCUUUUUUUUAACCACUUAUUUUUGACCAAUGGGCACAUGAAGAAAGGGACAUUGUGAUCCCUCGGUCUCUGAUAUUAGAAGCCAGUGUUGUGGCCAUUAAAAAAAAAAAAAUGCUUCCCGGCCUUACCCCGUCCGGGUGGA
rnacentral:lncRNA from 1 species